GCGUUGGUGGUACACCGGUGAGCACGGCUGCCUUCCAAGCAGUUGACCCGGGUUCGGUCCCCGGCCAACGCC